ensembl:miRNA
UUCUGGGGGCGUCUGGUGACUGAUUGGUGACUCUUUGUAUUUAAGAAGGACACACUUGGGGCUGGCCCAGUGGCACAGCAGUUAGGUUAGCGUGUUCUGCUUUGGCGGCCCGGCGUUCGCUGGUUUGGAUCCCGGGUGCCGACAU